CUUUUAUGCAAAUUCCCAGGGACUUUAACCUGAGAAAAUUUAGCAGCUGCUGGCUUGGUCUUAAUACACCUUGCCUCUCUGUAUGAUCGGGAACUAUCAGGAACUUGAUGAGCUGACAAAUGUGCUCCAUGCUUGCAACACAGCAGGGAAGAAAUUGCAGCACCUGGAAAUCCCCGUGGAAUGCAAGAGGAAGAAAAUUAGAGAAAGGAAAAUAAUUGAAGCUGGGAUUGAAAGAGCUGCUUCAAUCAGGAAUACGAAGGAUGGCGAAGGAACAGGAGGAGGAAAUAAUGCCAUAGAGAAAGUGAUCCCCCCGCCCCCGCAUAUACGGAAAAUGC
rnacentral:lncRNA from 1 species